CACGUAGGCACCAAGCGUUGUCCGGAUUUAUUGGGCGUAAAGAGCUCGUAGGCGGUUCGGUAAGUCGGGUGUGAAAACUCUGGGCUCAACCCAGAGCCGCCACCUGAUACUGCUGUGACUAGAGUGCGGUAGGGGAGCGGGGAAUUCCCGGUGUAGCGGUGAAAUGCGCAGAUAUCGGGAGGAACACCGGUGGCGAAGGCGGUUCUCUGGGCCUUACCUGACGCUGAGGAGCGAAAGCGUGGGGAGCGAACAGG
rnacentral:rRNA from 1 species